rnacentral:rRNA from 1 species
AGUGAACGCUGGCGGUAGGCCUAACACAUGCAAGUCGAACGGCAGCACAGUAAGAGCCUGCUCUUACGGGUGGCGAGUGGCGGACGGGUGAGGAAUACAUCGGAAUCUACUUUUUCGGGGGGGAUAACGUAGGGAAACUUACGCUAAUACCGCAUACGACCUACGGGUGAAAGCAGGGGAUCUUCGGACCUUGCGCGAUUGAAUGAGCCGAUGUCGGAUUAGCUAGUUGGCGGGGUAAAGGCCCACCAAGGCGACGAUCCGUAGCUGGUCUGAGAGGAUGAUCAGCCACACUGGAACUGAGACACGGUCCAGACUCCUACGGGAGGCAGCAGUGGGGAAUAUUGGACAAUGGGCGCAAGCCUGAUCCAGCCAUACCGCGUGAGUGAAGAAGGCCUUCGGGUUGUAAAGCCCUUUUGUUGGGAAAGAAAAGCAGCAGAUUAAUCCCCCGCUGUUCUGACGGUACCCAAAGAGUAAGCACCGGCUAACUUCGUG